rnacentral:lncRNA from 1 species
AUUGAAAAAGUUAAACAAUAUAACGUGAUAAUUAGUCAGUCAAACUAGCAAUAUACAUACAUAAGUGAAAGUUUACAUUUUAAUUAAAUACAGAUGACGGUGCAAAACGGAAUUAGCAACUGCUUUAUCAAUUCAAUUAAAAAAGUUAAGCUGAGUUUUAAUUGAGUUAUCUGAUUAAAAUAAAAAAACCAACAACUGUAUUAUAACUGACGUAAGUGAUUCUUGUGAAGCUACGAUAAUCUCACUUACAUUUGUAAGAGUUAAACAACAACAAUCAUUCAAAAUAACUUAGCGCGAUAGCAAAAGUAGGUGGAAAUGUAUAUUUGCGAAAAUCAGCAUCAUAUCUUCUUCAGAAGAACAAAACAUAUACACACGCAAUCGAGACGCCCAUACUACAUUGGAUGCAUGAGAAGAGUAAAGCUUUGAGUAGUGAGCAUCACUAUUCUGCUGCACGAAUCUCAGCAUGCUGAGCUACAACUGUUGAAACUUCGCAUCUUGUGAAAUGUCAUCCGCAAACGAUCAAAUCCCGCUUUAUACAAAGUAAAUACGGCGUGCGUUGUGCUCUACAGGCAUCUUAAAAAGAAAAUUCUAGUAUGUCAGUGCGUACUUCGCCUCAGCGGUGUUUACUGAGUCAACAGGGGACUCCGCAAUCAAGGGUCCAAAGCUAAAAGGAGUGUCAAUGGGCCACAGUAUACUGGGCUGUGAACCUGGCUUAGCCCAUUAAAACAAUACACAUGUGGGUCCAUUACUGGCCCAAACUAAGUAAUGGGUUACUUCUCGGGCCGAGCCACGUCAAAUUCAGGGCCCAAUAUUACUCACUACAUUUCAUACAUGAAGAACACAUGCAUUGACUGAUAGAGAUGUAAAUUCAACAGAGAUGUUUAAAAGAGGCAUCUGAGGUUCAUGUUGAAUUAUCUUUACAUUGUUGACAUGUCCCUUUUGUAAACUGAUCAAAUCAAACACAUGUAUGCGAAUGUACAUGCCCGAAUGACCGAUGCUACGAGGACAAAAUUGGGGAUGACUUGUUUACAGUCGAUCGCUAUUUGAAGCUUCUCGAUGUUUUUUCAAUGAAUAAUUCGGAGAAAAAAAAAGUUCUAUACAUAAACAAUAUGUAUGAUACACAUCCCUGGCAUACUCUACCCUUAAGCUGAUAAGGCUAUCUCACAAUUUAAUUUGCUCCUUUAGUUUGGCCUCCUUUUGCUUUACCUACAAAACGAACAAGUUCAUUUAGAAUAUAUAGAACACGAAGAUCAAGAUAGUAAGUAUGCGUAAAGACAACUUCGCAAAUGAGAAAAGUUGCAAACAUCAUCGCCGAUUAAUGUAACAAUCAAUAUUAUAUCUUGAAAAAUUUGACUAACUAAACAGAAGAAUUGUAGUAGCACGAAAGUUUGUAUUUAAAAGAGAAAUAAAUACACAGUCGAUCGCGACAGAGAAAUCUAGUUAAAAUCAGUAAUAAGAGUAAGGGGUGAACAUCAAGUAGUUGAAUUUCUCUAACAACGCGUAUUAAUAUAUCUUAUCCCAAUUGAUUAAAUUAGUAAUUGUAGUCAGCUUGAUGAGCAAAUAUAUUGCUAUUUUAACAUUGUAGUUCAUGUAGGUAUCAAAAGAGGGCAAAGUAUAAAACUUAAUUGAUUCACAUGUAGACCAAAUUUGGUGUUCUUGAUGUAGUUUCCCAACUCUGUAGACCCUAGACCCAACAGCUAUUUUGAUAGAAGCAAGCAGGAAAAGAAAGAAUUUAGAUGUGUUAUGAUUUGAUUUGCCCAAACAUUAUAUAAUGGCCCAUGAACAUCUAUAAUAAUAAUAAAAUAACAACUAUAAUAAUAACUCCAUGGAAUAAAUGCACUUGCCCUAGUAUUGUAGGAAGCACAUUUAAUCAUUGCAUUUCAAUAACUAAGCUAAAAGCUUUGGUUACAGAGUAUAUAUUCACUGGUAGAUAAAUUUAUUUCACAAAUCAAUUCGUACAUCUUAAUAACUUGACAACUGGGCUUGUGUGUAAUAAUUUGACAACCGGGCAUGGAAGAGCAUCAGGCUUAAAAAGGAGGAGACUAAUUAUUUUAUUUGGCUAUUUUAGGGAAAAGAAAUUUAUUAAUUGGACACCAAAAAAAUAGAGUAAGGCUACUAUGCUAUCGGAAGCACGGAGCCGUCCGUGCUUCCAGCUCGUUUUCGAUGUUGCGACUUUCGAAUCGUCGAUCGGCUCCGUUAAACUUGAUCUAGAGUAUUUGAAGUAUCUAGAAAAUAAAUUAUGCGAUUUUUCGAUAUUAUUUACCUAGUGAACCAAGAGGCUCAAAAUCAACGGCUGAAAAUAAAAAUCUUACAAAACGUGAUAAUAUGACAUUAAAAUUUUAGAUCAAAGGUAUUGAUCUUGUUUUAUAUAGUAUAAAGAAUUUUCUAUCAAAAUUUCAGACGAUUUGGAUAUUUCUACACCGUUAAACUUGCAAACGGCUCACUACGGCCAUUAAAAUUAUUGAUUUUGAGCCCCUUCGAUCCCUAGGCAAAUGAUAUCGAAAAAUCAUAAAAUUUAUUUUCUAGGUACUUCAAAUACUCUAGAUCAAGUUUAACGGAGUCGAUCGACGGUUCAAAAUUCGCAACAUCGAAAACGAGCUGGAAGCACGGAAGGCUCCGUGCUUUCGAUAGCAUAGUAGCCUUACUCAAAAAAAAAUUACACUUAACAAAAAAAAGGACACCAAAAGGUAAAGUAGUGUUCGUUAUAAUCGAUCAAAUCAUCUUAGAAGUUCCGUAGAAAACAAGAAGCAUAAAAUAAAAAUAAAAAAAGGGGUCAUCUAGCUGCAAGUUCAUGGGAAACUGCCAAAUUAUUUAGAGGUAGAUUUUGUGUUUAUGAUUCAUAUGUUUAACUAAAUUUAUUUUACAAAAAAAUAAAUAAAGUGAAUAGCAUGCUAUAUUUUUUUAGAAAAAAAUUGUGUUUGAGCCAUAACCUAGUUACUGUAAAUAAUUAUUUUUUAAAAAAUGAUUUCUUAACAUUUUUUUAUCCCUCCUCUUAACAAGUCUAAAUAUGCUUUUAAUCUAAUUACAAAGCUGCUGCUCUGGUGAUCAAGCAGGCAUGUGCACACAAGAUGUUCGACAAAAAAUCAAGAGUGGGUAGAGGUAGGGAAUCAGACUCACCGCUUCGAUGUCGAUUCUAUACACGAGCAACUUGCGCCGCUCCCUACAGCUAGUUCGAUACGCCACCGCGACGUGAGCCACCGCGAGCGCCAAAGAGCUCAGAAACAACGCUUCGACGGCCAACGCUCCGUCCUUACCCUCAGUCGUAACACGCUUAGCCCCUCCGACGGAGCUCACCCCGAAUGCGCAAACAGCCUUGAUCGAAACAUAUCCGAUCGACGCGGCACUACAUAUUGCCGUGAUCGCUAAAUACGCACCUCGGCCACCACAUAAAGCAUAGGCACCUGCAAUUAGUCAGCAUAGUUAAGUUUCAAAAGAAAAGCCCCUGUUGUAAACAUGACAAAUUUUCCUAUCCGAGUAACAAUGAAACGCUAAUGCAUGGAAACAUACGCCGUACAGCAAAAGUAGGAGUAACCGGAAACUGAAUCAUUUAUUUAUUAAUCUUGCGAAAAUAUUCUUACAGAGAACGAGAAGAGCUCUGGCGGCCGACACGGCGGGCAAGUCGACCAGCGAAGACCGGAAGUCGAAACUCGCGAAGAGCUGAUCAUACAGAGAGGGCGGCGGAGAAGCAGCAGCGUAGACGGGACCGCUCCGGAGAGCGGCGGAGAGAAGCGCCGGGGGGAGAAGCAGGUCGAGCCCGACGACGAGAAGCGGCGGCGCGCACACGAGGAGGAGAGAAGCCAGCAUGGUGAAAACGAAAAAGAUGGUCUUCAGCAAUCGCCACGGCCGCGUCCAAAACGGCUCCUUGUGGGAGCCCAAAAGCAGCUUCUUCUCCAUGGGUUUCUGCGGGCGUGGUGCGCGCGCAAGAGCUCUUCUCCUUCUAAAUGGAUCGAUGAGUGUACGUGUACAAGAGAAAUAGGGAGAGGGACAAACAAGCAGAGGAGGGGGAGCCGCGUGAGUUGCGAGGGAAAAAGAGAAGCAACGUUUGACUCUGAAACCGCCCCCCACUUUAAAUUCCGUGUCGUCGCACGGCAGCUUCGUCUUUCAGAAGCCCCCGAAGCUUCUGCUGCAUUUUUUUUUUUUAAAUUCUUUUUUUUUUUUUUGAUUUUUGUUUGUUUUGAGGUCUUUAUUUAGCGAGCUAAGGAAGGGAACAAAGGUGUUGGGUGUAGAACAUGGAAUACGCGGAGAAUCCAAUUGAAAAGCAGGGAAUGGUACCUUAUAUAUAUGCCCACGUGGAUACCACAUGGUUUGAUAUUCGCUUACACUGGGUACGUAGAUGCCCAUCACCUGCGCCCGUUAACUCGAGUUCAAUUUCUGCUUUCAAGCAUGCGUGCGUAGUUGUGUAGCCGUUGUUAUACUUAACAAAUAUAUUACGCAUCAGUUUAAAAUCAUACAUAAAUUUGCUAAUAUAUUAAUAAUUUAUAUAUCGGUUAAUUUUAUAUUAUAACUUGUUGCAUCAAGUAUUUUGAGAUGGUAGAUUAUCCUAAUUUCACACGCUCUCUCUAUAUAAACACAAAAACCCCAGGUCAAAAAGAUCACACGAUGGGGUUGUAUCAACUGCUGUAAACUCUUUUCAACGGUAAACGGCAAUAGAUUACUUUUUUAAUUAAAUUUUAUAGAUCCCCAGAACGGAGGGAAUUCUCCUGACUAGUCAUAUGCUUUGAGUCUUCUGCGGUUCAAAGCAGUCCAUGUGGACGAUGGGGGGCCUCCAAAUCGGACUUACCUUUAUGUUCAAUUGGACGAGAAAUUAUUGUGCGGCUGCUGCAGUUGAAUCGCAGUUGAAUCGCAUCAUCCGUUGGAUUAAAAUUCAGCGUUCAUACUGAUAGUUUCUAGCGCAAAAGAUAACAAAAAUCUAAAAAAUACAAAGCAUGUCGUUUAAAAAAAGAAAUCAACGUAUCGUCUUUCGUAAUGGUUUUCUUGUAUUUUUUUUUUCAUGUCUUUUUUAUGUGCCAAAUACUUGUUUCAAUCAUUGGAGAAAGAACUCGUUUUGCAGCGUGAAUGAAUUUUCAUGAGGUUAAUAUUUUUCUGUGUUGGGAUCUCAAGGAAAAUUUUCGGAAAAAUCCCGUAUUUUGAUUGUCGAUUGCAAACAUUGAUCUUGCAGCUGUGCUAUUUUAGCAUUAGAAAAAAAAGGGUUGAUGUGGCAAUCGAAUUUGAAACAUUGAUCUGGGACUAUUAUUCAUUCCUCAUGCAAUAUGUAAUUAAGAAGGAAAAUUGAUUAGAAAUUGACAACCCGUUAUUCUAGAUAACACCCCACCCAACCUACAUAUCUCGAAUUAUAGUUUUAAGAAGGAUAGAUUUUUAUUUCUAUUCACUAUCUAAGUAAUCUCUAUUAUAGAAAAAAAAAAUUAAGCCGUGCUAACACGUAACACAUAACACAAUUUUCCUGAACAAGGGCGAAAUUGUGACAUGUAACAUGGCUACAAAUCCGGUAUGUGAGAGAGGAGGUGAAGUAGGCAUAAAUAAUAUUUUAGCCAUAAACUUCGAUGCCAAGGGAAUAAGCUAGAUGAGAACAAAUAUGUAUGACCAUCUUAUAAUAUACAAGUCAUCUUUGACUAUAAUAAACUUUAUAGUAUUAUUCAUUGAGCCUUAUUCUCGAAGAAAACUCUUAUCCUUUUGAAAAUUCUUAAUUACGAGAAUCUUAGCAUAUGAAACUCUUCAUUAUGUGGGAUUACAGUAUCAUCCCAUUUGGAGCUCCGGAUAAUGCUAUUCUCAUAUAGUGUGUGUAGAUCGACAUGUGGCGGAGAAGUAAUCAAACAUAUCACAGGGAAUUUAUGCAAGGUCUUCGUGUUCAAGUUUAGUUUGCCACAGUUGCCACAUGGAUUUUAUGUAUCUUAUGUGGCUUAAGAACCUCUAGAGAGGUAGGUAGGUAGUUAGUAAUGCUAAAUUAAGGGGUAGAAAAUCAAUCUUAUUCUACAUGCCACCCAAGCACAUGUCAUUAAGAGAGCCUCUGAUCAUGACUAAGCAGAAAUUGAGUAUCUGACAAGCUAAAAUUUACAGCUCAGAGGCUUUGGUAGGUACACAGACUAAAUCCGAGACAUUUCCUAUCAGACCCGUGGUUACAAGCUUAAUACCAUCAUUUAUUUUGGAAUUUUCACUGAUUAGACCUAUUAAUUAUGUAUCACUCAGUUGAUAACAAACGCUGGGGUCGUCUUAAUUGUUUGUAUUAUUUUCAACUGAAAUUCUCAACCAUAUCCAGUCAUAGACAAUACAUAACAGUAGAACGUAACUUGUAUAUUACACUUACACCCUAGUUAAAUAUAGGACGAGAAAGAACCCAUCGAUUUUUAAUGCGUCACAUGCUUCUUUGACGAUCACAAUGAUAUCAUGCGUGACACAAAAUGAGAAAUUUUGGCUCGUGCAAUCGCCAUUUGGAAAAAAUUCGAAAGUAGAAACGACCCCGCUGUUGAUGCAUCAGAUCAGAGAAUUUAUGAGCUCCAUGUAUGAUGUAUCACCAUUGAUAAUUUUACAACAUCGUUGUAAAACUUAUUUAUAAGACGAGCAUUACUCCUCAACCAGAAGCCCAAUGUUGUAGAAAUUUGAUUAUGUCCAUUUCACCCAACGUUUCUCUUUUCAACUACCCCCCCCCCCAAAUGAAAUUCAGUUUCCAUCCAGAUUCUGUGUUCCCAACUUAUGUUUGACCUGCAGAAACUUGUACAAAAACAACAACAACAACAACCCAGGAAAACAAUACAAAGUCCCAUCAGAGAAUGAAACAAUACGCCACCCAUGUUCAUAUUGGGGUAUUCAAACACAUAUUCAAGAAGAAUUUUGAGUCAACAUAGCAAAUUUAUCCCUCUACACUUAUAUUAACAUAUACGCCCCUUUAGGCAUCAAUUGACAGUUAUUUACCUCAUAACUGUUGUAUCUUUGGUACUAUUUCCCACCAAAAUAAAAUUUAUCAUCUAAAUAGAUAAUAGCCACUCUGAAACCUUAAUUAAAACCAAUUAUAGCUCUUCAUGUUAAGAAUUUAUAAAAUUUCGAGUACAGGGGGAUAAAUAUGGUUCUUGAGGAAGCACUUAACGGCGUUUGGGGAUUUACCAAAUGAUCAAUAGUAAAGGAGCUUUUGGGAAAAGCUUGUUGGUUCAGUUCCUAUUGCCAACUGCAUAAGCUAUCUUUAUUGGCCUGCCAUGCAGCGCAACCUGGUCUUUCUUCAUAGCUCUCUCCAGUGACUCAUCAUCCUCGAAAUCUACAUGACAGAAGCCCCUGAAAUUACCCGUCUUCUUAUCAAAGGCAAAUCUUAUAGAAGCAAUCUUAGAUUCUUCAAAGAAGCCCCUUAUAUCGUCUUCUGUCACAUCCCAUGAGAGAUUCCCGACAUAUGCCGAGCAGCAGCCGUCGACCUUCUCGGGUUCGCUAAUGAACUCUCUCCUCCUUUUCCUCGUGGAAUCGAGUCUGCAACGCUCGACCCUUAUGAAUCUGUUACCCCUGAAGCCCAAUGAACAUAGGUCAGCAUAGAAAGUUUCGACAAGUUAGGUGGAAACAGGAAAAAAUCUGCAGAAAAAUCCUCACAUUUUGAAUCCAUCAAGCUUAAGAGAACUCGUUGCAUCAUCCUCAGUCUGGCAUGAGAAGACAAAGUCAAUCGUUGAAGAGUGUUCGGAGUAGAUAAUGACAAUGGAAGAAAAUGCAGGAAGUUUUGGACCCACAGUCGGGAAUUGCUUGGUACAACCUCUACAUUCUUCUAUUCAAGGUAAAAUAUGCAAAGCAUAUGACCAGCGGAAAAAAAUUGCAGGUUUAUUUGGAGACCAGCGCAGUAAGCGCCCGAUUUUGGCUCUACAAAAGUAACAAUAAGCUUCUUCCUUCUGAGAUGUAAUUUGUCCCCUAUAAAACAACUAAGCAGGAAUCCCAUGAACAUACGUCCAGGAACCAUUUUAGUUGUGUCAUCUAAAAGUUAAGUCCACUAUUACACUAAUGACGAACUAAUUAUGAUACUAGAGUACUAGACAUCAGUUUUUUUUAGGACGUGUUUGGUCUCGGACAUAUUUUGCAAUGAUAUCCUUUAUACUUGGCUUAUAUCCUAGGGUACCAGAGAACCAAGUGUUUAUGUUUCGUUUCAAGAGAAUAGGAACAACAAAUUUUCAAGUUAACUUUCAAAGCAUAGUAAAAGAGGUAACCGGAGCAAAGAAAUAUAGGUAGCACAAGUUCAACUGCUAGGUAAAAUAGUUAAUCGGCCGAAAUUAGGCGAUGAUUUGAAUUACCCCUUCCCUUUCGGAGCCCCAUUUCAGGUGAGCUAAGCAAUUAGAGCAACAGUGGUAAUCAGCACCUUCAUGUAAUUUCUUUUUCUCUAAACGGUAGUUUCUAGGGUUUUCGAACUCAUAAUAGAGAAAGAGACGAGGAGAGGGAUUAGACCUGGAAUGUGAGGAAGGCGAGGCCGCUGAAGUUUCCCGAGUCGGGGAAGCGGGAGAGGUGGAGAUGGCGAACGGCGCCGACGCCGUCGAAGAGCUCUCGAAUCUGCUGCUCGGUGGCGGAGUAGGGCAUUCCGCUCACCACCACCUUAUUGCGCUCGUACGUAUCCUCAUCACCACCACCACCACCACUACCACCACCACCCACACCUGCUUCUUCUUCUUCUUCUUCUUCUUCUUCUUCUUCUUGUUGCUGCGGCUCAUCCCAGGAGUCGAGAACCGGUUGGCCCCAUUUAUCCUUUUUCGCCUUCUUCUUCUUCUUCUUCUUCUCCUCCUCCUUGCUCGGUUCCUUCAACAACAUCUUCUUCUUCUUCUUCCUGGAUUGGAGUUUGCUCGCGUCUUCUUCAGUGGCCAUCUCGGCGGGGGUUCCGCCGCACGGUGGAGACGUAGAGAGAGUUAGGGCAACUCGACCGGGGCGCAAGAGCGAUGCGGUCGGGUUAAGCCCUGAUUAAGAUGGGCCUCUUAGCCCAUUAGGCCCGCCUGUGUUUACACACUUUGGUUAAUUGUGCCGAUUAUGGGCCUGCGGGCCCGAACUGAAUAUUCAGCCAACAACUGUGUUCGUCAAUAUAUAUAAAUAUUUACUCUGCUUUUCGUCAAAUCUUAUAAUUUUCAUUUAACUAUAAAAAAAAAAUUACUGCAGGAGCAUUUUCUCCGGGUAGAAAACGGUUGGACAAAAGGCGCAUGAGCGGCGGGAAAACGGUGGCCCCGUGCGCGUGCGUAUGGAAUGCAUCGUCGCCCACCGCAAAACAACAACCCCAGGUUUGGGGGGUUUUGGGAGAGGUGGCCUGGCGGGCGGGCUAAAACAAGAAGCCUCCAGAUUUCCGCCCGUGUCGGGGGGCGAGAAAGGCUGCCUUUCGACGACAGCGAUGCUCCCCCUCUCCCCCUCUCCCCCUCUCCCCUAUUCUUAGACGAUUACUGUAAUGUAUACAUAUAUAGCCGGCAAUUAAAAAAUUGGAGAGAAGGAUAGAUAGAAAGAGGGGGGGGGGUGGAAUGCGGUAAUCUUUCUUCCUCUUUCUCUAUUUGGAUUCCCCUCUUUCUGCAUCGCUCAAGAUGGCUGAAGCCACCGCAGGUAAUGUGGGAGGGGUUUUUUUUUUUUUUUUUUUUUUUUUUUUUUUUUUUGUUUCGUCUGGUAACUUAAGCUUUUAAAUUAGUUCGAGCCCUCUAAUAUGAUAUUGGAGUUUGGUUCACAGAACUUCACACUUUCAUUGCGAUCUAAUUUCUUUUGAUACGUUCCUGCUUUAAAGGGUGUGUUUGUUUGGGUGGAAAUGGAGAGGAGGGAAGUCGUUUACGCCGUAAGCUAUCACUUUCGUUAUUUGAUUCGCCGUAAAAUAGUUACGGCCGAAACUUGAGUUAACCCGAAAUGACGUAAUUGACUUCGGCCUAUCGUGGGCCAAAGUCAAUUAUGGUGAAAGAAAAAAAAAUAAAAUAAAAUAAUACACUAGAUAAAGAUAAUUAUAUUUAAUUAUAGUAUUAAUUAUUUUUUUAUUCGGUUGAUAACUUGACAUAUCUAAACUAUGAUAAAAAUUGAUUAAUCAAGUAUUAAUUUUUUUUUACUUCAUAGUUUUAUUGUUGUAUUAUUAUAAUUUACGUAUAAAAAAAAUAAUUUAGUUGUUUUAAAUUAAAUUUUAAUUAUAUUAAAUAUAAUUAUAUUAUUUUAUUUAUUAAAUUAUUUAUUAUUUAUAUAUAAAUUAUAAUUUUACAUCAUAUAUUUCUUACCAAACAAACAGUAGAACUAAUGAAACUCUACUUUCAUAACUACGAAACAAACAGCGGAAAAGAAAUAGUUUUCACCGAACUCCACCUCAACCCAAAGUCAAGUUUCCGUGAAACAAACAUACCGUAGGCUGUUUGUUAAUUUUUAUUCAACUCAAUUUCCAUGACCGGUCUUUUAGUCACCAUAUUAGGUUCAUGCCACAUUAUAGUAGGGUGCGUGUUACAAAUUAAUUUUUUUUUCUUAUUUAAUUUAAGUUCAGUUCACAUUCUAGGCCUAUCAAAAAUUUUAAAGCCUGAGUAUGAGGAAAAAAAAAUUGAAUAUGAAAUAUUAAAACACCGUUGUCUAACAACUUAAUAUCUUACAUACAAAUAGUUGUUUCCUAAAUAGUGACCACGUACAUCUUACAAAGUUAACACUCUGCUUUCAAAUUCUGAUUCUAUCAAUGAAAAUGAUGCCGUCCUCUCCUAGUGUUGCAUAACAAGGCCCUGCUGCGGCUGUAUUGGAAUGAUUGAUUUAAGAAUUAUUAGACGAAUUGAUUUCUCAAGUUGUUUGAAUCUAUUGAGCUGAUAACAAGGGUUUUCUGGUUAAGUUUUACUUUGUUAGAAUCAUUAUUGUAGUUUGAGCUCUGCAUCCUAAGAAGCUGGUUGGUUCAUGGGAAAAGUAUUAGAAAAAAAAUUUUGAAAAAAAAAAAAGUUUUUCAUGAAAAAUAUCUUUUUUAGUUUUUUGCCUGUUUGGUUGCGAAAAAAAAAACUAGCUCUUCUGGAAAACUUUUUUCGGAGAAAUAUGUUCAAGCUUUAAUCUGCUUUCGUAUUAUAUAGGUCCCUUGAAUUCUCAUAGUAACGAUGCAGCAACAGAGGUUUCUGAAGAGAAAAUAUCACUUGUUGUGUGUUUUGGUGAGAUAUUGAUCGACUUCGUCCCCACCGUAGCUGGAGUUUCUCUUGCAGAAGCACCUGCAUUCAAGAAAGCUCCAGGAGGUGCUCCUGCGAAUGUUGCCGUUGGUAUAUCUAGACUUGGCGGUUCAUCAGCUUUCAUUGGCAAGGUUACUAAAUAAGCUUUUCAUUAUUUUUUUUAAGAAAUCAAGUUCAUAUACUUGCAGUUUUCAUAUGUAUGUCUGUAGCGCAUGAAUUCAUAACUUUGAUCCUGCUGAAGUUAAGUAUUUCUUUUGUUGCUGGGCAGCAUUUAGAAACCUCUAUUGUCUAUAUGCUCUUCUAUAUUUUUCUUAAGGAUUAGCAGCUCUAACAUGCCCAAGUAAAGAAAUGAGAUUUUUGUGGUUUCAACAUUAAUAUAAUAACAACUAGAGCAUAGUUAACUAGACAUUCAUAAAUAUGCUGCUGAAAUAUUGUGAUUGUAUCAAAAUAUAGCUGUUCCAUUUGUAUUAUUCUAAUUUUCAGCUAGUAGAUGAUUCAGAGACUACAAUAACUGUUCCAAUUUUCUGUCAGUUAUGCGAACACAGAAAUGCUACUUUAAUGAAAUUCAUAUAAAAGACUGACGAAUGAAAUAUCUCCACUUUAUGCAUGCUUGAAGUUGUAUACAACAAAGGCUUUACCCUUAUUUGACAGCUAUAAUGUAAAGAUUAAAUUGCAUAAUUGUGCGUAAGUCCUUAUUGGUUUUCUAGUAUCAGGUAGAACAAAAUUUUACUGAAAACUUUGCAGGUAGGAAAGGACGAAUUCGGCUAUAUGCUGGCUGACAUCCUUAAAAAAAACAAAGUCAACAAUUCUGGCAUCCGGUUUGAUCCUGGUGCACGCACUGCACUGGCGUUUGUCACCCUACGAGCUGAUGGAGAGAGAGAAUUUAUGUUUUACCGCAACCCAAGCGCUGACAUGCUACUUAAGGAAUCAGAACUUGAUAUUGACCUCAUCAAAAAGGUAAACAAAAAUAGAGAAAAAUUCUGUGGGCUAGGCCACAUUGUAACAUGAUUCCUGAUAUUUCUGUUUUUGUUGCAGGCAUCUAUAUUUCAUUAUGGCUCAAUCAGCUUAAUCGAGGAACCUUGCAGAUCAACACAUCUGGCGGCGCUAAAAAUAGCCAAAGAAUCAGGAUGCAUUCUAUCUUAUGAUCCUAACCUCAGAUUGCCGUUGUGGCCAUCUAGCGAGGCGGCAAGGCAGGGCAUCAUGAGUAUAUGGGAUCAGGCAGAUGUUAUUAAGGUACAAUUUUCCUUCUAAUCUUUCUCUGCAAGUGGCAUUUACAUUAACAUUAUUGUUGUUCAGUUCAAACUCAAGUUUGGUGAAAGUAAAAAAAAAAAAAGAAAGAAAGAAAGAUCUUGGAAACAACUAGCAUAAUGCUGGGAGAUUCACUGUCUAGUCUUAUGCUAGAUUUUGGGUCUUUCUAUGAAAGAUAACUUCGGACCAUUUCAAAGAAACUUUGGUUUCGUAAAUUUAAGCACAUAAACUACCUUCCAGAUCUUCUCUAUGUCUUCAUAAUAGAUGACUAGACUCUUAACAAAUUUGAUUUACGGCCAAAUUCACAAAUUCGUUAAUUAAACUCCCCCUUAACUUCCGACAUCUUCAUAUUGAAUACAGUGCAAUUGUAUCAUUGUAACAUGGUCGCUGUUGGUAUGUUAGGUAAGUGAGGAUGAGAUUUCAUUUUUGACUGAAGGUGAUGAUCCCUAUGAUGACAAUGUUAUACAGAAGAAGCUUUUCCACGCCAACCUUAAGCUUCUUCUAGUUACAGAAGGGCAAGAUGGGUGCAGAUAUUACACUAAGGUAAUCCGUCUUCUCCACUUAGACCUCUUUUUCUUUAAUCGUAAAGAACGAGCUUGCAGAUUCCAAAGUAAUUUCCUCGUGCUCUAACAAGAAUAAUUUACUGGAAUUCUUUUCUCCGUUUUCAGGUAAAAUGUGUAAUUCCCUGUUUAUUCGCAUUUUGUUUAACACAUUCGAUCUAUUUGCAGAAAUUCAGUGGCCGAGUUAAAGGAAUUAAAGUCAAAGCAGUUGACACUACUGGUGCUGGUGAUGCAUUUGUCAGUGGGAUCCUCAGCAAUUUAGCUUCUGAUCUCGAACUUUAUAAGGUGAGAUAUCUCUGCGCCCGGCUUAAUGGUUGGGCUUGUUUACUUCUCGAGCUCUCUGAUAAUUUGUAAUGCUUGUAAUAACAAAAUUUUUAGUAGGCUCAGCUGUAAUUGCAAGUGCUAGCUAUCAGAAAAGAGUUGGUUUUAUAACAGAAGGAAACUACUAAUCACGACCGAAAAGUUGAGCCCCUUGGAAGAUCACAUUAAUGAUUCAUGUCUAGACAACCUGCAUAAUAAAAUAAGAGGGAGAGUUGACUCCAAAUUCAUUUCUAAACUGUUGUUCAUAUGUUUAUAGAAGCUACUAGAACAUUGAAGAUUCUGAGUCCUGCAGCUCGAGUCUCACUUCGAUCUUGUGUGUGCAGGAUGAGAAGAAGCUAAAGGAGGCUCUAUUAUUUGCGAAUGCCUGCGGUGCUAUUACAGUCACCGAGCGCGGAGCGAUCCCUGCUCUCCCGACCAAAGAUGCAGUCCUUGAUCUCCUGCCUAAAGCUUCUGAACAGCCCCAAUGCUUCUGCGCUAUCAGCUAAGCUAAUCGACGACAUUCUCAUCAGGAGGCGAAAUUCGCUAGUCCUUUCUAUUGUAUCUGUCGCUCGUUCACUUGUUUCAUAUUAAGGCAGACAACAGAAAGUAGCCAGCAGAGCUUCGAUAAAUGCAAAGAUGGAGUUAUAUGGCUUUAGUUGGGUGCGGUGCUUUGAAGUACGGAUCACAUCUUUUGCGAUCAAUGAAUGUUCCAAGUGUUUGUGUAUCUCAUUUGUUGUAACCCUUUGUUUAUCCGCGUCUGAUUUAUACCAUUAUAAAUUGAACUCACUUAUUGUUGGUAUUAGUUAACAUAUUUAACGAUGACGAUUUGUAGUUAUCCGAGUAUAGCAACUAUUUAUGGAGGAUAAAUUUUCUAAAUUCCGACAACUUUACUCUUUUCUUAUUUUUUUCCGUUCUUUCACUUUCCUAUCAUGUGUAGGCACAAACAGAGUGCGGCCUUCACAUGGCAACAGGAGAGAGAUAAAAUGGCUUUAAAAAGAGUCGACUUUAAGCGAAUUCUCGCGCGCACACGCUCAAAUAGCAAAGAUGCACAAGCACGGAAAAGGGUAACUCACAUGUAAAGUUUACAUGAAAAUGGUGAAAAAAUAUUUGAGCUAUAGCAACAGGGCACUAAAUAAGCCAAGUAAAAGGCGAGUACUGCUCAGUUUAUAGCAAACAUACUCUAGUGCAAAAUGGAAUUUCGUUGGAAUCACAGCUUGUUCCCCCCCUUAAACUUUUAGAAUUCUGUGUGUUUCCAUUACAAAUUUUUAUUUUAGGUGCAUUUAUCUUGAGAUGCUCAUGUCAUUGCAGAGCUUGCCCCAUUUGAUUUUGUAAUGAUUUGGAACUACAGCUUUCGCAUGUUACAUCCAAAACUUAAUAAAUUUUGCAGAGAUAUUAGAACCCAGGACCUCGCAAAACGGCAGGAAUUUAUGAUCGGCUCUCAUACCACGCUAAUGGGAAGAUCCAUCACAAUAGAAACAGCUCAGAGAUAUACAUCUAACAUGCUCUUCUGUGGAAUUUAAAAGGGUUUCCGUAGCAAAUGUCAUUACGGUGUUGUGACUUGUGAGUAUGUGACACGUGAUGAAAAUUUGCAUCGCACAACGUUGAAAAUGUCCCAAUUGGAGUGGGUCUGAUAGGAGGAAAGGAAGGGAAUUCUCUUGCAUGACAAUUCUCUUUUAAGAGGUGAAGAAUCUCUAGAUUUUCACCAUAUAAGAUGAGUCAAAGUGUACCAGAUGUUAUGCGUCCAUUCCACAUUACUCAGGAAAGACAAUGGAGUACGUUUUCACUUUGGAAAAGUGUUAGGGUUAAACUAUGAAUGAAUAUUUAUUAUUAAGCGAUGCAACGCACGAAAAACCACCCCAAAUCCGCGGACCCAAAUGGGUGGUGAACCUAUUACGGUCUCUUGACUUUGGUGUAAAUAGCACUAUUUGGAAUUUGUGUAGUCACACACUUCAUUCACACUUCCUACGUGUAACUCCACUUGCGCCAUAAAUAUAGGGAACGUAUGUCACGUUGAAACGCUUUUAUUAUUUUGUUCCACAAUGGAUGUGGAUUCACCAUUAUUUUUCAAUCAUCCUAGUGGCCUUUUCCCAUUUUCAUUGGCUUUGCGUGGGGUCCUUGUUGCACUUAGCACUUGGCAUCUUCUUUCAAGUUUAACUGAAAAAUUCUAAGCCAAUAAUACUGCGCCAACUAUUAAGUGAUUAACAAAAUAAGAUGCGUCGUACAUGAAUGAAUACACACUACACAGGGCCUAUAGAGAUAGAAGAAAUAAAGCAACCCGUGUGGGAGUGAGAAACCCAUAAAUAUAUAUAUAUAUAUAUAUAUAUAGUUUUCGCUUUCUUUCACAUCCAUUUCCCAAAUUGGACCCAACCCUUGAGCUACAAAGUAGCUAUCUUAGCUAGAACACCUACCAUGUCAUCAUCAUCUAUUCCGGGAAUAGUUACCCGUUAUUCCCGCAUAAGUUCCCUCUUAUGCUGACGCAAUCCACCAUUCAUCCACCCAUCAUGGAGAGAAUUAAUAAGAUCAUGCAAACCCCCCAAGCCCAGCUUUAUUCCAGCUCAUCAAAACUAGAAUUAGACUAAGGCCACUUACGUGCCAUGGUAUCUUAAAACCCAAGUCACCUACGCGCGGCCUCUUAGCCUAACUAGCUUCAACCACGCAACAAAUUAAUCGUCUCAGAAGAAUAAUGAAAUUAUUAACUACUAGUUAUUUUAUUAUGUAUUAUUAUCGAUCAUCAUUAAUUAGUGUGAGGUAUUUAUAGUUUUUGAACUAUUAGCAAUCGCAAGAUCAGCAAAACAGCGAGCAUAAGAAAAUAUAAGAAGAAAAAAAAAAAAGAAAUAUUUUUUUUAAAAAAAAAAAACAGGGUGGGCGAUAAGAUAACGAGGAGAAAAGGGAGGAGGUUGGCGACAGCUACAGCGAAAGCCACAUACUAACGCCACGCGGAGGCGAAGGUGAGGACCCGGCCCAUCCAGCUGAAGCCGAGCCACCCGCGUCCUCCUUGACCGCGAAACCUCGGGUUGGGUCCGGUCGACCGCGAGCGGGCUCGGACCGGGCUCCGCCACGCCUCGUCCGAGCGGCCAGGCCGGAACCCGGCCAUGCUCAUCCGCGCCCGCCACUUCCCGAAGAGCUCGCAGCGCUCGACCCGCUCCGGCCCCUCCCGGGCCACCGUGUUGGUCGCUUUCCGGCUCAGCGCGGCCUCGACCCGGGCCCGGUCCGCGCUGUCCCGGCCCAGCGUGGCCUCGAGGGACUCGAGCAGCGCCCCGUAGUGCGCGCACGCCUCGGCGAAGCGCGCGGCGAAGGGCGCCGUGUUCCCGCUCAUCUCCUGCUCCACGAGCGCCACGGCGCGCGGCGCCAGGGCGCGGACGCGGCGGAGGAGCUCGUCGCGCGGGUUGGCGGGGGACACGCUCUCGUCGGCGAUCCGGGAGAGGACGAAGGCCAGGUUGACGGCCAGGGCCUCGUCGGGCUCGCAGCCGAGCGAGGCCCGGUCCAGCUCCGCCGCGCGCAGGCUCACGAUGCUGAAGCGGAGCCCCACCCCGGCGCGGUCGGCCAGCUUGGAGAGGCGGUCGCCGACGUCCCGGAGGCCCUUGGCGGCGGCGGCGGGGAGGGGGUAGGCGGGGUCGGCGACGGCGGUGAUCUUCAGGGAGGCGGGGCGGGGGCGCCGCUCGGCGAGGGCGCGGAUCAGCUCGGCGUGCUGCGCGCCGCUGCCGACGUCGAAGUCGACGACGUGGAGCUUCGGGUGGCCGCGGGCGGCCUCGAGGAUGGCGAGGUUGGCGACCGCGAGGCCGAGCUUGAAGCAGGGGGAGGCGUCGUGGAGCAGCUGCGUCGCGAAGCGGUGCUCCGCCGAGAGGAGCUGCCGCGAGGGGUUGGAGGGGGGAGGCGUGGAGCACGAAGCGGUGGAGGAGGCCGUGGAGUUGGAGGAGGAGGAGUUGGAGGGGGAGGGGGAGGGGGAAAGGGGGUUGCUCUGAUUCGCCAUCGUCGGCGGCGGCGGCGGCAACGACGGCGAAGGGGCGGCCGAGAUCGAGAUGAGCUGCCGCAUCGUUUCGCCCCACUCUGGUUCCGCAUCGCGGACUCGGUCGCCGCCUUAGGGUUACGAUCGGACUCCAACGCGGCCGGAUGCCAACCCCUCUGCGGACCGCCCUGAACUAGGCAUCCGGAAGAAAUCGAGGAGGGGGAGGUGAGACUCCCGAGGUCGGACGAGAGCGGCGAAGCCAUGUGGAUCUUCUGCUUCACGGAGCGCAGGAAGAGCGCCUGCUGCAGCGCCAUCUGCUGCUGCCGCCGCUCCAUCUCCGACAGCGUCCGCUUCAAAACCCCUGCCCCUCCCCCUCCCCCUCCGCCGUCCGAUCGGCCCUGGAACGGGAUUUGAACGGCCGAUCCGCCCCCGAACCCCGCGUAGCUUCCGCGAGAAUCGCGUCCCGGGAAUCCCGACGCCAUACAGAGAGAAAAAGAGAGAAAGGGGCUUCGAAUUCGAAACGCAAGCUAGACUGCUGGAGGCGGAAUCUAAGAAGAAGAAGGAGAAGGAGAGAGGUCGCAGCAGCAGCAGCAGCAGCAGGGGGAGGAUGCAGUGGUCAUGGCUCGCGGCGGCUUUUGCUCAACCGCCCUUUCCAACCAUCCGCCGAAUCUCCUCCAAUGGAAAAGCCCCCCCACCUUUUAUACCAACUUUUUUUCCUUCUCCUUUUCUUUCAACCUAUAUUUUUAUUAUUCUUUUCCGCCGGGCGUUGUUGGCGUUGCUCGCUUGCCUGCCUUAUUAUUAUUAUUUUAUAUUUAUAUAUCUCAUCAUUAAUUCAUUAUUGUAUUUAAAACACGAAGAAGGCAGGCAAAUGUUUUUUGAAGAAGCGACUGGGAGAACGGGAGUAUGCGGGUGACGCGCACGACACACCGUCGGUGGGCGCACGCCAGCAGCGUUCCAACCGCGAUUUCAGAAUUGAAUCCAGGACGCCCCCUUCCCCCCAACCCACUGCGUGAAAACACGUCUAGCCCAGGUGUUCCCGCCUAAAUCUUUUGUGCGGACAGCUAUCCCUACCCCGCUUUCCCCACCGAAUACCCGAUCGGCUGCGACCUGACCAACUACGGCGGACGGCGUUUUGGGGAAGCGGGGGGGGGGGGGGGCGGUGGGGUGGGGUGAUUUUUUGAAAGUUGGUUAGCGAAAGCCGAAUAAUCUUCUAACCCUCACGCCACUUUCGUUGUUUUGCAGUAUUAAACUGGUAAAAGGGUUAAAGAAUUGAACGAGAAAGAUUACGAGGCGGCGACACGUGUGCAGUAAAAGAAACCGAAUGUGCACUCGCCCGCGCCGGGCCCACCCCUGCCUCCUUUGCCUGAUGAUUGCUUUCGCAGCACCAAUACCGUUGCGAUAACACAAUUAACGUCCACAUACGUCGGGCGAAAGACUGAACCGUGCCAUUUGGUCCAAUCGGGUACCGGUAGAUUCCGAAUCCAAAUGGAAUCCUUAUUAGUGCGCGAUGAAUCGCGCCAAACUAUUUCAACGAGAUUCCGUUAAAAAGCUCCUCAGCAGAGACCCACGUUCUCAAGCAUGUUAGAACAUUGUAGUCAUGGCUAAUUAAAUCCCUACUCGGCCAUUAUUUCAUUCAGAUUUUAUAUAGAUAUUUUAUUUAUUUUGUAGAUAAAACGUAUGAUUAAAUAUUUAGUGAAAGUAAAUAUCCACACUUAGUUUAUUUUGCAAAACAACAAAUAAUCAAUUGUAGUGGAUCAUCCGGGCCCUCACACUCGGGUAUCUAUCGGCACGCCUUAUGUCUCUGUUCUUUUUUUUUUUAAGCCUUUUUUUUUUUUUUUUUUCUUCAGUUGUUUAAAUACUACAUGGGAGCUCUUACAAAAUCUAGCCCCAUCGAGCGGUCGGACUCAUAUGAUCGAUCGUUGGCUCAUCAAUUCGGUUACAUGUUGACAGGCUUGAUGGCGAUAAAUGGUAAAUAACAGUUGCCGAUUCAUGUUUUCAUUUAACUGGGGCGCGGGUUCGUGGAUCAUCGUCCAUAUUGCGUGUUACUGCUAUACGAUAAAUUUGUUGGCGACCUGGUGCACGAUUAGAGCUUGUUUUUUUACCGGCAUUUCGGCACACAGAAGACUCUUCAUCGUUGGGAAACGCAAGUGCUGACCCUUUAAAAAAAUGACCCGCAAACUCGAAGAUCGGAAACGCGGACCAAAUGCUUAGAUCAUACGUUGUAAGCAUUGGUCUUGACUAUGUGUACGCGUGAAAAACGCUACUUUAUCUCCAUCUGGGGUGAAGUUCGAGAUCGAGCAUACGAACUGAAACUCGCAAUACAAAGAAACCAACAUGAGCUAAGAAGUCAUGCCUGGCAGCCCAUAUUCUCCGUCUGUAAUCUCUCCUUUAAAGCAAUUUUUCCCGCGGCAAGUAACAAAAUAGAUUUGAUUGGAACCGGGUUCGUCAUGCUAACUACGGAUUUUUUUUGUCUUUCUUUCUUUCUACGAAUCAUGGCAAGUACCCCAUCUGCUUAUAAGCUAAGUAAAGCAAUAAAUUUCAAAUCCUGACAAAUAUCUAAACUUGGGUGAAUGAAAUAGACGAUGAAACUAAAUGAUCCACACGUUCACUCAAACACACAUUAGGUUUUUUUUUUUUUUUUUGUUUUUUUUUUUGAGAAAAGUAGCGUUCUAUGUGUUUCAUCAACAAGAAGGAUAAAAUUAACACAUCAACGAAGAAAGUAAACCUCUGUCAAAAGGAGAAGAAAAAAAAAUAGUAAUAGUAAAAAUACUAAAAUAUUAAUAGUUUCGUUUGGGCGAUAGAGAAUUCUUCCACAUGGUCAGCCGACCGCUUGAUUUAUCCACUGUUAUUUAGUGGAGUCGCGUUAGCCCCUUUCGGAACGAAUGAUAGCUAUUUUUGCGUUCCAGAUGAACCCACCAAGCAGGCCACAGACCGUCAAUCUAGCUCGAGAUGACGACAGCACUAUGCCACUUGUUCCAUAGUGGAUCUCACAUCAUCCCCGACAAGUCCUCAAUUGACUCCUUCCACUGAUCAUCUAAAUAAAAUCACUAAUCCACGCAUUGCGUAAAUAAGUGGUUCACAGCUCCACUUUGACCCCAAUACAACACAACAAAUUAUAUUUUUCAUCCACCCUCUCAUCUGAAGGAUAGUCUCUAUACGUGUUCUUUGCGAUAAAAGGCUGGCCAUUAGGCUAAUUUAUUUAUAGUGAUAAUCCCUUGGUGGCCAAAUGUAUCUGAGCAAUUAGACUUUCGUGAGAGAGAUAUUCAACCCAAUAUAAUAUAUAUAUAUAUAUAUAUAUUUAGGUGUCGUCCUUGUUACAAUGAAUUUUCUACACCGCAAGAACUAAAUAAAAUAGAGUAGGCUUUAGAAGAAGAGUAAUGGAUUCCUGGGUGCGGGGGGUGGUUGCAAUUAGCUAUCUCAGUAAAAUGAAAGUUUUUCUUUCAAAAGCAGAUUUCUGACCUAAUGACUUGUCCAGCCUCCUUAUGAAAAAAAAAAAAACUAUCUAGUUUUUUUAAAAAUAUUCUUAAUUUAGCCUCAUUUUAUAGAUUCAGGAAAAAAAAUAAAUAACUUGUAGGUAUAUAUGUUACUGGAUGAGAGAUUAUUUUUUCUCUCACUGCCUCCAGUUCCUAAGACCUCUUCUGCAGUCUCUUUCUCUUCUCCCCCAAAACCAUACACCUCAAAUGCAGUCACCUUUAUAUCAUAAAUAAUAGUAAUUAUCUUAUUUUUAUUUUUAUGUUUUGUAUAGUUAUAUUAUUUUUACAUCAUGUUCGGUAGUGUGAGUCCAAAUAAGCUUUUAUAAUCAAAUAUAGUCAUUGGUAUAUCAAUAUCUAAUGUAACGUUCAUUUUAUCUUAUAGUUUUUUAGUAUAAUGUCUAGUCGUAUCAUAUUUUAAUGUGUAUUAAUAUCGAGAUUUUAUAAAGUCAUAUAUCAAUUAAAUAUUAAUAGUAAUAAUAAUAAUAAUAAAAUUUUAGUAAUUAGUAAUUAAUAUAUUUAUUAUUUAUAAAAAAAUUACUUUUUUAUUAUUAUAAUAAAAAAAAUUUAAUAUAAUUAAAUAUUGAAAAGAGAGAAGUGGGGGGAGAGAAGAGCGAAUGUGUGUGUAUACACGUGCAUGUGUUGUUGUGGGAGUGAGGGUGUGUUUGUUUGGGGAGUGAGAGAGAGAGAAAGAGAGUGAGAAGAGGCCUUCGAAUAUGGAGGGGAUGGAUAAAAAAAAUAAUUUCUCACACUAAUUAACAUAUAAAUUUAAUAUAAAAAUUAUAAUGCUAUUUUUUUUUUUUCUAGAUCUAUACAAAUAGGGUUAAGCUUAGAAAUAUUUCUUAAAAAGAGGGCUAGAUAGAAAAAAAAUUUCUAAGGAGCUAAACAGGCAUUAGGCUCGAAAUUCUCAUAACAAAUUUUCUAUUUAAUUAAGUUUCUUAUAAAUGUAAGAACUUCAACUAUAAAGUACCUUGAUCUCUAAGAAUUUAAUGAAUGUCUCUAGGAGGAAUUCAAGUUAAGCUUUACAUUUCGAGCAAUUAUAUAAUAUAGUAUAAUAUUGCUAGGUAUCAACUUAAAAAAGUUUUCUUUUUCCCGUCCUUUAGCAGACGGAAGCUCAGAAAAAAAUGAUAACAAAAUCAAUUAAAGUUAAUUAGGUUGCUUAUGUAAGUAAUAAGAGGUUGUUCGGUGUUUGAUGUAAUUACAAUAUAAUGUAGUUGAGAUGCAAUUGAAAACAGCAGUUGUAACUAUAUGUAUUGGCUGUUUGAUUGGAUGUAAGUAGAAGGUGAUCCACUUAAAUAAUGUUUGAUUAUAUAUAUUUGAGAAAUAAUUUUUAAAAAUUUUUAUCAUUUUAUGUAUAUGCUGUGAGAUUAACGCUUCAGGCCCGUUUGGUUCGAAUAUUAAAUAUUGACAAAGUAUUUUGACUAUAUUCGGCAUAUCUUGAAUUCUAAAUGAGAUUAUACUGAUGUUGCAGUUAGUGUGUUUGGUUGAAAAAAUAAUAGGCAGUAAUAUAUAUCUGGAAUUCAGUAGCUCAUACGGUUUAAUUUUCAAAUGUUCUGGUUCUGUUAUAAAAUUUAGUAAUCUAGAACAAUAAAAUAUAGCCUAUUCCAAAAUUGUCUUUAGUCAAUAUUUAGUAAACUUUUUCUUAUUGUUACAACAUAUUCUUUUACCAAUUUUAUUUUAAAUAAUUUAAUUUUUUAAUUUGAUUUUAAUUUAAAUUUUAAAUUGUAAAUUGCAAUAAAAUAAAUUUAAUAUUUUAAUUUAAAAUAUAAAUAGAAUUUUUAAAUUUAUAAUCUAAAAAUUUAAAUAUAAAUAUAUAUAAAUUAAAUUAAGAUCUAAAAUUAAAAUUCUUUUUGACAAAAAUUUAAAAUACAUAUUUUAUUUUAAAAUUUUAAAUGUAAAGAUUUGAAGUUUAAAAAUUUGAAUUUAAAAUGCUGAGAAGUUUGAAAUUAAUAAAAAGUUUAAAAUUUAAAUAUUUAAAAUUUAAACUUAUAAUUAAAAAUCUAAAAUUUAAUUUAAUUAUAAAUUUAAUUAAAGUGUAAAAAAAUUUUUAUAAAUUAAAAAUUUACAAAAUUUGAAUUUGAAAAUAAAAAAUUAAACAUUGAAGUUGACAUGAUUCAAAAUUUUAACAUUAAAAUUUUUUAAAAAUACCCGGUAUAAAAGAGUUUCCGAGGAGUUAGCAAGGUAAAAAUUGUCAUUUUACAUAAAUAUGUAGUAUUACGUGUCAAUAAUGUAAUAAUACCGACCCUCUCGUUAAUAUUUCGAUGUAUUCCUGCUUGAUUUGUGAUGCCGGCAUAACGAAUAGAUUUACAUAGCGGACUGAAUCAACACAGUAAUCCUGACAGGAUUGCCUGUAUCCCUAUCAGGUAUAACUCGACCAAACGCCACCCGUCAAUAUAAAAAAAUAUAUAUUUUUGUGCUUAAAAAAAUAAUUAAGGGAGAUAAAGCAUAUCUUUUGUUAAAGUUACUCUUUCCAAUUCUACAGUUGAACUGUGGCUGAAUUUGGUAUAGUUCCGAUGCUACGAUUUGGCCUACUAUCUCAAUUCCUACUGGCAAGAAUUGGAGUUAAAUACAUCAAAUUAAACACCGAAUUAUAUUAUACAUCAGUUAGAAUUGAAAUGGAAGUUUAACUAUAUACAACAAACAGUCCUAAAAUGAAGCAAUCUUACUCAAGUAACAGACAUUCAAGUAAUUAAUCCAAUAUAAAUAUUAAUUACGGAAAGAACUCUCCCAUCCUGUUUGUUUAAAAGUGGAUUAGUUUUGAAAACCAAGUUGUUAUGAUUUUUCAAGUCCGAGUAUUGGACUACAUAGUUAAAAUUUUAAAUAAACUACACUUUUAAUUAGUUCCAAACUAUGUAACAUUUUUGAAUACUAAUUAUCAAACAUGUUACUUUAGUUAAAAAUUAAUUACGGACAUAAUUAUCAAUAAUUAGAUAUGUUUCUAAUCACAUAUUGCAAUACAUUAAAGUUUGAAUACCCUAUUACUCAGAGACUUUCAUAUUGGUCCUGUCUGUCCUUUCUUAUUUUUAACAACUAAUAUCAAUGCAAAGAUAUUUUUAAACCACUUAUCAAUAUAAAAGUGUAAAAUUAUACCCUCUAUAUUUGGAGAUGUACCAUUAUGGAUUUUUUUCUAAAUUUUGUAGGUUGACUUAAUAUUAUGACAUGAUGUCGCCAAUUAAAAAUUCCUUUUCACGCCUUUUAAUUCUUUUUUUUGCAGAAGUAAGUAUAUUAUAGAUACAACAAUAUUGACCCUUCACAAUUUGGCCAACAAUUAGAUUCUCAUGACUAUGACAACUUGUUAAUUAGUAUCUUCUUACAGGAAUAUUCUUUUUCAUACAAUAGAUACAAUGAAGAAUUUAAAAAUGUUAAAGGAGAUUAAAUAGUUUGUUUUCAUGAGUGUUCACUCAAUAUUAACAAUUUAUUACUAUUUGAUAACACAAAGCACUAAAUAAUAAGAAUAACUUAAAUCAAAAGAAUCAAACCUGAAAGAAUGUCAAUAAAAAUGAAAAAAGAUAAGUUGAUGAGCUUAUUCUAGCUGAUCUACUGUUGAGGGGGCAACCAAAUUUGGUUGCAAAAACAAUACUAUAUAUAUAUAUAUAUAUAUAUAUAUAUAGAGAGAGAGAGAGAGAGAGAGAGAGAGCUAGGGUUCUAUGUUUCGAAAGUACGGAGACUUACGUGCUUGUAAGUUAUUUUCGAUGAUGGAGCAUCCGAUUCGGCGAUCGGCUCCGUUAGACAUGAUAUACACUAUUGAAACUAUUUAAAAAUCAAAUUUCAUAAUUUUUUGACUUUAUUUGCUUAGUGAACGAGUAAGCUCAAAAUAAACGAUUGAAAAUAAAAAUCUCAAAAAAAAAUAGUGAUAAAAAAUUCAAAUUUCAAAUCGGAAGUAUUGUUCUUGCUCUUAAUAUUAAGUAAAAUUUUUUAUUAAAGUUUCAUGUAAUUUAAAUUUUUCUACACUGUUGAACUUUAAAACAUGACACAUCGGUCAUUAAAAUAGUCAUUUUUUAGACUCUUUGAUCAAUUGGUAAAUGAUAUCAAAAAAUUAUGAAAUUUGAUUUCUAAAUAAUUCUAAUAGCGUAGAUCAUGCCUAACGAAACCGAUCGCCAAGUCGGAUGCUCCAUCAUCAAAAACAACUUACAAGGUCUCUGUACUUUCGAAAAUAUUGGAGACGUACUCUCUCUCUCUCUCUCUCUCUCUCUCUCUCUCUCUAUAUAUAUAUAUAUAUAUAUAUAUAUAUAUUCAUACUUUACUAGAGCAAAUGUUUCAUUCACUGUACAAUAUUAACAUUCUUUCACUACUCUAUCCCAAGCGCUGUGCACUGUGUAACGUUGUUUUCUUAAUUUUGGCAUCCUUUUCUCUUUGCUGGCAUAGAAAAUGCUCCAUCAAAAUAUAAAUAUUUGUUGUUAACACCUCUUCUACCAUGUCAGUGUCGCUGUUUAGAAUUUAUCAUUCAUCUCGUGCUUUCAAUCUAAUCAUUUAACAGAAAAUUUGAAAAAUAAAAGAAAAGAAAUGUAAUUUAUUGGAUGGUGAGAAUUGAAGCGGUCCAUGCAUGGUGCAUUGAGUGUAGGCAACUCGCAGGACAUGCCUUGAAUCUUACGACAUUGAACUCGGUACAACAAUGAGACCACAAAUAUAUGAAGGUUGUUGUAACAACCAUCGCACGGUAAUAAAGAGAUCCAAGAUCUCAGUACAGGAGAUAGCCAAUCUAAUUCCUCAAAGAUGAUUUGUCCAUGAAGAAGGUAAGUGUACAGGGAAUGGUUGGUAGACCAUCUUUCCUUAAAUACCCUAAGAUUAUUACAAAAAAAAAAAGUUUUACGUCCCAGAUGGGAAGGAACUCUAUUACGUACGUACCUAGGAUUAUAGCUAGGGGACUAAUUAGCUUCUUAAUACUUUUCUUAUAAAAAAAGAUUCAAUUUCCUCGGUUGCUAAAGAUGUCCAAAAUACCUGGUAUACCGAUUCCAAUCCGAACCUGAUUAAAAAUAGAUAUUAUAUGGAUAAAAAAAUUUACCUAUUUAAGUUUUGAGUAUGGAUCCGAAUACGUAAUAUCCAUACUUGAAUCAAACCUAAUUCUUUGGUGAAUGGGAUGUGGAAUAGUUUUCAUAUCCCUAUCAGGGCUAAGACCUGGUGAAAUAACUAAACAUCAAAAAAAGCAAAGAGAAAAAUAUAUUUUAAUAGGUAUAUGCGUUUUAUACUUGUAAUAUAUGUUAUGUGACUAAUUGUAUAUAUUUAUGCAAUUAUAUUAUAUGUGUUUAGACUUUCUAAACAUAAUUUUAAUUAUUAUGUUAUUGUAUAUGCUAAGGUGGUGGUCAUAUAGUUUUUCUAUUGUAAAUUUUAUAUUUUUAAUUUGCAUUUAUCAUGUAAUCAAUAUUUAUACUUUUAAGUUGGUAGUCACUAUUUAAAUUCGUUGAUAGAUACAUAGAUUCGAUGGAUGGAACCCAAUCCGAAGAUGGAGGAGUGGGGCAUUUUAUUCUAUUUUAUUUUAUUUGGAGUAUUCAGUCCUCAGUGAAUUUGGUUAAGAAAAUUAUUUUUUUUAAUCGAGUACGCGUGAGAGAUUUAUCCUGUACGAGUGCAUUAGUUCAAUAUUUUAGUGGCACACGAAACAUGGAGGCAAAGUAUGGAUGCGUCAAAUUGCUCGACACUCACUAAUGGCGGAGUAACUCUCAUCACAUGGUGUGACGUACGACCAAAGAGGGCAUCGAAUCGUGUGGGGGACCUUUUGCAGCUAAGUUCAAUAUCCUUUUCAAAGAGUUAGGUUACGCAAAACAUAAAUAUACAACUAUCUGAAUCGCAUCUGCGUUUGUCGACCGUAUCUAAUUAUUCGUGCUGUAACUGUAUCUCCCAUUUGGAACAUUGAAAUCCAAGUUCGAUAUGAACUCUAAAGCUGAGUAAUUAAUUGUUGUUAUACCUGGGAAAUUAGCUCGCUAACAGUGUUUUUCGAAUACAUUGUCAGGUUCUUAUUCUAACUCUAAAAUACGCAGCGAUUUUACAUGCUGUUUAUCUUUUUCUCUUUAUAUAUAUAUAUAUAGAGAGAGAGAGAGAGAGAGAGAGUUUGGCUAUAGUACUUGUAAAAGCAGCAAGCACAUGAUGUAUAUAUAUAUAUAUAUAUAUAGAGAGAGAGAGAGAGAGGCUGGUAUACUAUCGGUAGCACGGAGAUCUCUGUACUACCAAGUUGUUUUCAAUGAUGCGCCUUCCAAAUCGACGAUCAGUUCCGUAGACUUGAUCUACAUUAUUGAAAGUAUUUGGAAACUAAAUUUCAUAAUUUUUCGACAUCAUUUGGCUAAUGAUCAAAAGGUCUCAAAAUUGACAAUUUUAAUGAUAGAUUUGAUGCGUUUGUGAUUUUUAACGGUAUAAAACAAUCCAAAUUUGAUGAAAUUUUUAUAGAAAAUUUUUUUCACUAUUUAGAGUAAGAUCAAUAUCUCUGAUCUUAAAUUCAAGUCUUUUAUCAUCAUCUUUUAUGAAAUUUUUAUUUUCAGCUGUUAAUUUUUAGACUACUUGUUUGAUAGGUAAAUGAUGCCAAAAAAUUAUGAAAUUUAGUUUUCAAAUACUUUCAAUAGUGUAGAUCAAGUCUAACGGAGCCGAUCAUCAAUUUGGAAGCAGCAUCAUUGAAAACAACUUGGUAGCACGGAGGUCUCCGUGCUACCGAUAGUAUACCAGCCUAGCUCUAUAUAUAUAUAUAUAUAUUUAUAUAUAUGAAUUGAGAUAGAAUACUCUCAAAAGCACCAACCCCUUAAUGCUUUUGAGUUUUUAGCCAUUGAAUCUACUCCUUGAUUACUAAUAACUUUUGGAUCAAAUACUAUUCCACCUAUUACCACCUACCACCAUCAUCUCAACCAUGCAUCCUUCCAUUCAAUGACUAAAAAUUCAAAAGCACCAACCCCUUGGUACCUUUGAAAGUAUUCUAGCUCAACUCUCUCUCUCUCUCUCUGUAUAUAUAUAUAUAUAUAUAUAUAUAUUAUGAUAAGAUGCGCCACGGAAUCUUUUUUGCGAUUAAAAUCCCGGGUUUUCUAUAUGAAUAAAUCGAGAAAAAACGCAAUAAUGUGCUACAAUAAUGCGUUUCUAGAGGACCAAUGGGGGAAUAUGGGAAUUCGGUGCAGGUGCUUUUGGCUGGCCCAUUCGUUUGGUAUAAUAACUGGGCACCGGUUUCCACCCUAAAGGCCCCAAAAAACCGGAACCAGUGCCAAGUUGGGGAAGUGAGUUACUGGAAACCGACCAGAUGGAUUCGACUUUUCCGUUAUUUUGACCGAAGUGGGACCUUGGGAGGUAUAUGAACUGCUUGAAUAAGCAAGAGCAAGUAAAAAUCAAUCGAGUCAUAUGUAGAACUUUUAAUGCUUAAGGCGAAGAUAACUAACAACAAAAGGAGAAAAGAAAAAGAGAAGUACUGUAAUAGGGAUCAAAUGUAGUUAUUUGAUUUGUUGAUGCUUCGGUACAAUUUUAUAAGAGCUUUUCGGAUGAAAAAUGUUAGCUGUACGGCCUAAAAAAAGGUGUACAUCAUACAUCCAUUGUCUUAAAGCUUAUAAACUCUUUUAGAUUUGUAAUAGUUUUUUUUUAAAAAAAAAGCUAACAAGAUAGGGAGUAAUUGAAGUGCUCUGAUUAGAAAUGUAAGUUUUUUUUUUAGUGUAUAAAUAAUAUUGUUCUUCUAGGAUACUGUUUGGUCGCUCAUUUAGAUGAGUACGGUGAGUUUCCUGUUCUAGCAAAAUUCUUGGAUGUAUGAAUUUAAAAGUCUAGGUUAAAGCCAUAUGCUCAUGUGAAGAUCAGUACAUCGUAGAUCACUUCAUUUCAAGGUUACAGUUCCGCUCAAAAGUAUGGAAAAUUAUAUGUGAAUGAACUCAAUUAUAGCUCAAGGAGAAUUAAAUCUUUGAGACACUUAUUACGAGCCAAUUAUAAGCCAAACGACCAAAUUAGCUUCAGAAGCAACAGCUCAAUUAAGCUUUUUCUAAAGGAACCAAUUGAGAGGUCCACUUAUUACUAUUCACAAAGCAGCUAUUUCAUAACAACAUAACACUCAAGCAGUUGAAAGGUCAAACCAUGUGGUCAACCGCGUAAGAAUGUUCUACUCUGGGUCAAGAUCAACCAUUUCUGAGGUCUCGGGAAUCAACCAAUUGUUCAGAGUAACCACCUCCAAUAAAAAAUCAAUGUAUUUUCCAUUCAAUUAUAUUAUGUGAUGCCAAUUCUAAAAUAAGACUACCCAAAAAAAAAAACAAAACAAAUGAAAAGCUCGUUUAAUUGGACAUCUAAAGAUCCUGCAAAUUUUACCGCAUAGGAGAGCAUUCAAACCACUUCAUUCUUUUGAAUUUUAUUUUUCCUUUAUUUGGAUAAAAACCCAUCCUCGAAAGAUGAGAGUUUCCUUCGUGCUUUUAUUGCACACCACGUAUUAAAAUUGCACGAGAGAUUCGGAAGUCGCUUCUAGACUAAACAGAAUAUCUCAAAAAAGACAAGAACCCAAAAUAAAAGGCGACAUCAGAAGGAAAAAAAAAAAAAAAAAUCAGCACGAUAAUAAAGGCGAUCCUUAAGAUAAUAAAGGCAAUCCGUUAGCCAUUGAUUGAUCAUUCGGUGUAAAGAUUCUCAGCAGGUAGACACAGUAAUUUUAGAUGUGGGGCGUCUUAUGCCGACGGUUUUUGUAGUCAUGUCAUUCUCAAUUCUCAUCACACAUAAGCAGAGUAUAGGGACAAGCUCAAAGUUUGCUGAACAAUCUUUACAUAAGCAUUGUUGCAACAGUGUAGUCCUGACAAUGCCACUACACAGAAACACUAACAAAGCUCCCCAUAAUUAAUCUAGUCCUAUUGAACAAUCUUUACCGGUAGACAUGCAUAUGAAGCAAAAGACAAUUUCGCAGACAAAGUAUUUACUGUGCAACCAGAAACAAGUAAACUAGCAUAAAAACAGUUGGAAGCUCAUGUAGAUGUGCGGCAUAAAACAUUGAACAUUCAACAGCCUACGAGAGCACUGGUGGGUAUUGUUUGGCCUGCUGCCGAACCCGCCUUUUAUACUCUGCAAUAUCCUGUGGAUUGAUAACAAAUAAGCCCUAAGUCAAUAUUUAAUGACAACCAAGACAUCUACUUGGCCCUGCUUUCAGAACUGAUUCUUUACUAUGAGAAGUAGAAGUAGGCGUUUGGCAAAAGGAGAGAAAAGCUUCUAGGCCCUAUAAACAGAAGCGUAGUUUGAAGGUUCUGCUUUUAGCUGUCUUACUCAGCCAGGACUUAAGAUGAAGCUCCCAUACUAUAACCAGAAGAAAAGGUCAGUUACCAACCUGGAUGAAAAGUUGAUAGCCAUCAGUCUGCGCAGGAUCAGCAGGAUUUGGCUGAUCUAGUAAGUCCUGUAUUCCCACAAGAAUCUGUUUGACCGUAAUGGCCGGCCUCCACCCCUGAUAAAAACAAAAAAGAAGAAAGAUAUUAGCAUCGCCAGCAAUAGGCAUGAAUAUGGAGCCUGUGCAACAGCAUAAUUUAGUUCACUUACACUAUCCUCGUUAAGAAUUGAAAGGCACACUGUUCCAGAAGGGUAGACAUUUGGAUGGAAGAAACCUUGAGGGAACUUGCACUUGGGAGGUUUACUAGGGUAGUCCUCACUGAAAUGGAGGGUAAGGGGAAAAUAACCACCAUCCCAAUCAGUCUGCAGAAUCAAAAGUUGAGUUUUAGUUCUAAAUAACUUAAUUGCACAAGAAAGACAAAAGGUGUGUCUUAAAGUCACAGAACGUAUAAACAGAACUAACUUCAGUGACUAGCAAAAACACAUGUAGAAACGAACAGACCAAAAUGUACAACAAACAAGAAACAAAUACGCAUAAUCGCCUGUAAUAAUUAUUAAGGCAUUAAAUUCACCACGUGACACUAUGUUACAUUUACACUGCUAUAUCAUUCACAAGUAUACACAACUGAAAGAAUGAUUCCUGCUCUCUACUGAAACAUUAGUUGCACAAAUCCAAAUGCUUCAGGAAAAAGAACUUGAAUCAAUAAGUCCAUGCAAACAAUGCACAUCGUAUAUAGAUAAUAAAAAAAUCAAACAGUUGACACAAAAAAAGUUAAUACAGAUAAAGUUCCACAAGUUAAAGAUUCAUAAGUAGCUAUUUAUCGUAGCAAAAACAGAAACACCUAUCAGAUUGUUAACAAUACCUAUUACACUUUAUUAUCGAUAUUGCAUGGAUUAGGCCAACAGUAAAUUGACAAUACGUGACUAUAAGCAGGGGUUAGCAUUCGAAAGAAUACUAUCAGCAAUAGUCAUGAAAUGGAUCCUAAAAAUGAGUGUCAGAAUUAGAAGGGCUGCGUUUGGUUCAGGUAUAAGUAAGAACUGCUUAAUCCAGGGAUAGAUACAAGUUCAGGUAUAAGCAGGAACUAGGCCAAUAUUGCGUUUGAAUGAAAAUUAAGUUGGUUCCUAAGAAUAAGAAAAAUAAUGUUUGGAUGGUUAGAUUGGAACAAAAAAAAUACGAGUUAUAAUUUUAAAUUAAAAUUAUUUUAUAUAAUUAAUUAACAUCAAAAUAUUACAUUAAAAUAAUAAAUUAAUAUUAAUAAUUAUAAACAAUAAAUUAAUAUUAAUNUAUAAAAUAAUAAAUUAAUUAAUUAAUAAUAAAUUAUAAAUAAUUAUAAAUAAUCAAUUAAUUGAUGAAAAAUUAAUUAGAUAAUAAAUUAUAAAUAACAAAUUACUAAUAAUUAUAAAUUAUAAAUUAAUUAAUAAUAAAUAAAUCAAUCAAUCAAUAAUAAAUAAAUAUAAAUAAUAAUUUAUUAAUAAUUAAAAAUUACAAAUUAUUUAAUUAAUAUUAAAUUAAUUAAUUAAAUAAUUAUAAAUAAUAAUAGUGAAAUAAAUAAAUUAAUAGUAAAUUAAAUAAUUAAUUAAUAGUAAAUUAAAUAAUUAGGAAUAAAUUAAUGAUAAAUUAGUUAAUUAUAAAUUAAUAAAUUAAGUAAUUAUUAAUAAGUAUAAAUAAUAAUAAUUUAAUUAAUAAUUAUAAUAAUAAAUUAUUUUAUUAUUUAAGCAUUAAAUAAUAAUUUAAAUAUAUUAAUUUAAUUAAUUAAUUAAUUAACACCAUAAUUAAGAUUAUUUUUAGACUUCAAUUAACCUUAUUCUCACUUGAUAAUAAACUUGUUCCAGGGAAAAAGUGGAACAAUAGUUUUAGCCUUAUACCGGCUUAUUCCAGAAACUCGAGAACUACUAUUCUCGGGUACCAAACGCUGCGUUUGGGAACAAAGGGAAGAACAAGGACUUAUUCCCCCCUUUGUUCCCAAACCAAAUGCUACCAAAAGGAUUCAUAUCGUGGAUCUAUGAUAUCUCUGAGGAUUUACUAAGAAUGAUUUGUCCAGCUAGUAACUACAUAGUUUGUCAAGAAGCCAAAGACCACUAUUUUAUAAUCUUUUUUCUAACCAGGCUAAAUCUGUCACUUCCAAUAGUAAUGUUUUUGAUGAUGUCAAGACCCCCUUCUCCCCUCCCUUUCCCUUUGAAAGUUAUAAAUUGGACCUAUCCUCGUCUGCAGUAAGAGACAUACAAUUAAGAUAUCACAAGCCUCAAAGUCAUAUUAAGAUGGUUUGAUCCAACUUUCAAUUGAUCUCUUAAAGAAAGUACUUGCUUUGAACGGAAACUGCACAAAAAACAUACAUUGUUAAGGUCAAAGAUAAACAUACAUAGGGAAUCAAUGAAUCUCCAUACCCCAUUCAACUUGGCUCAAACUGACAUCGUUAUGACAAUCACUUAUACUUGCAAUUACCAACAUUAUUUCAAAUAGCAAACAGCAAACUUGAAAAGCUCAAUACCCAUAGUUUAAGAAAUUGACCAUAUCAAAAGUCCAAAUCAAGUUUACAAGGUAAAACUGUAAGAAAUAUGUUUCCACCAGGUCUUUGAUUUCAGGUCACAAAUAAGAGAGAAUAACAUGUAUAAAGACCUUUCAUGACUUGCAUUAGUUUCUAUCCAAUUAAAUUUUUGAAGAAAAGGAAAGAAAAUCUUUUAAAGUUUUUCUUUAGUAAUGUUAUUAUUGGGUGACUAAUUUCAGUGAUUGAUGCUUUCUCCCACACUUUGAAUUCCUUCAAAAAGAAAUUGUCAGUUGUUGCAGGACUUAGAGCUGUUGUAGAAAUGCCUAAAUGCUAAGCUAACAUACAUAAAUUAAGAAAACCAAAUAAAAUAAGUUAGAAUCAGCAUAGGUACGUGUAACAUCAUCCACCACACGGUGAAUUUUUAAAAUUUCAUUUCAGGUGCCAAUUCCAUACUUCAAAAGAAUUUCCAUCAGAAAUAAACAAUUCAUCAUCAUAUUCAAAAGAAUGCACCUCAGAAAUGAACAGUUCAUCAUCAUAUCUUACCAGCUAUCAACAAACAAACACAAGCAAGGAGGCCCAUGAUUGCAUUCAACUUCCACUAAUCUAAAGAAAACCCAAAUAUCCAGGACGUACAGCAGCCGUAAUGAGAUAUAAACUAGAAGAGGAGUUAUUUGUCGAGGAAAAAAUUAUACAUGAGAGCCAAAGGACUAAAAACUAACAAUAGCAGUACUGCAAGGACGGUGGGGUACUAUCAGAAAAACCCUCUCUACUGAAAAAAUUAUACUCAAAACUUUUAGACACAUUAGACAUUUCAUAUUUGAUUAUCAAAGACAAUUUCGAUUUUUGAACAAAAUCUCAAACUCAUUUAAGGUGAAUCCUCUUAAACCUGAAAGUUACUUAAAACUAUGGAAAAGAGCAAGAUGGUCUGGAUUUUGAGUACUUAUCUGUAAUGCAUCAAAAACAUACAUAUCAUAGGUUGAUAUACAAAAUAAUUGUAAAUUUCAACCAACUAUUAGUACACCAUAUGCUUAUGCAUAAAAAUUUUAAUAAAUAUCUGCCUCCAUAGAAAUCAAACGAGUCUAAGUUAUGGCGCUAAUAGUUCAAUAAACUUAUAUUUUGGUCCCAAGGUUAUUCAACUUUAAUGAGAAAUAUCAUUGUUUGCAGUAUGAAAAUCAUCAAAUAUGUGAAAUUAAAUUAUCUAUGCUGCAAGGCUUUACACCUUGUUUGUUCCUCUCAUCAAGUUGCACAUGCGAUGUGCCCAAAUGUAACCUUUUUCCCUGCCUCCAUGUAAUACUGACCGGAAUAAACAUAAGUCCGAGCAAUAGCUAUCAAAACAGACUCCAAAAAAUAUGAUUGUAUUCUAUUUAAAGAGAAAGAGGGUUAUAGCAAACUACUCUAUGCAUGGCAUCCUAAAAAUAGAUUUUUCAUUCAUUCUAUGAAUAUCACGUUAAUUAUCUUAACUCAGCAUUUACUUUCUUGCAAAUGAGGAGAUCUCAACGAGACACUCCCCUGUAAUUGUAAUACAAAAUUCUCUUUUUAGCAAACAUGGUCACAAACUCAUACUAAAACAUGUUGCAUAAAGUGGUCCAAUCGUCAGCAUAACAUAUGGCCGGGUCCUCAUAUUGCAUGAAUAAGCAUUAAAAGAUGAGUAUUUAUCCAUUAUAUUUGUUAUUGAAUGAUCGAUACAAUCUAUUCAUAAAUUCCAAGUCAACAACACAUGUACUCUUAAUCAAUGAUUCAAAUCCCUCCAUAUUCCAGAUCCCAUGCAAGGGAUUCCUAAUCAGAACAUCUUUACAGAGGAAAUCCAAAACCCUAGGAAGAACCAAUCGACAACGGAUAACAAAAGCACCUAUCUAGUAAAUUCCGUCGAUUAACAAAACCCUAUAAACAGAGCAUCUUGAUCAACAAAAAGGGAGAACAAAAGAAGAAAUCCACAACUUACCCCUUGCUUACCGGGAAUGGUGCAGUUCCACACCAUGAGAUUCACGGACCCAUCGGCCAACGUCUCCGGCCUCGCCACAAAACCCUAACGAGAUUAACCAAAAAAAACACACAUCAUCAUCAUCGUCAUCUAAUCGCAAGAGGUGAAGGAGGAAUCGGGGGAAAGGGAGGAAGAAGAAGAAGUAGAAGGGGAAAUUUUACAUGGGGGUGAUUCUUGCGCCACGCUUUACGCUCCUCGGCGAGACGACCACGAGCGAUUCCCCCCGACAUUGGAGCUCUCCCCCCUCUGCUUCGCCCUUUCUCCUGCUCCUCCUCCUCCUCCUCCUCCUCCUCCUACGCUCUAUAUAAUGACUUUUGCGAAGUUCACCCCCCAAAGCGAUCUCUUUUUGCGUCGCUAUACGCUUUACAAGAAAGUAACUCUCAUUCUAGAGUUUAAACAAUUCUCUUUAAACUUUUAAUAUAAAAAAUAAUAAAAUUAAUUUGAAAAUAUUGACUAUUUAAUGAGUAGGACACAUAAGACUAUCCAGAUAAUUAGAUUGCGUUGCAUUUAAAAAAAUGAGGCUCUAUGAAACUGACGAGAAAAAAAAAAUAAAAUAAAAUAAAAUUUACACCCACUUUGGAAUGUGCAUGUAGCACUGCUUAUUUGUGAUUAUAACUAAAUCAGUUAAGUAUUUAUUUUUCACAUGUUAAAAUUUAAAAAAGUUAUAAAUAAUUAUUUAUCUGAUUAAUCUGUAAAAUAAAAGUUUUUCUUUUGUUUUGAACAAAAUUUAAAAAUUAUUUCACAAGGAGGGAUUUGGGUUUGGGCUUGGGUCCAUUUUUAUAAGGCUGUAGACAACAGAUCCAGUACCUUACUUAGCGCCCUGGUUCCUAGUAAUUAAGCCCAGAUUGCCAUUUUGGGCCUGCACCCAUGACCUGUGAGUGAAAAAUUGGCUGAAUCAAAGCUUUAGUCCCCAGCCUGGCAGAGUUUUUGUUACCAUUGUAUCUUAUUUUUUAGCUUGAUAUUAUAUUUAUUUUCUAUUUAUUUAAUUUUAUUAUCCUUUUAUACUCUUACACUAUAUAUAUACCAUAUUAGUAAUUAUAGCAAAUAUUUCAUAUACUAAUUUUUUUUUUUCUCCUAACAUCACAUGACUGAUUGAAUAAUUUUAAAUCGAUUCCUUAUGUAGUUAUUAUAUCUCUACAGUGCCAUGUGACAAUUUUUAUCUCAUUGCAAUUGACAAAUAUAUUAUAAAGCCAAACAAUGGGACACAAAUUUCGUGGACAUCCGUGCCCAAAUAUUUGUUUGGGCUAGCGGAUGCGGCCAUGGGCCCCCGCCAUGUGUGUGUGCGGCCCGCCCAUCACCUACCCGCCCUCUCUCCCUUUAUCUCUCUCUCUUUCUAAAAAACGGAGGGCCCUGAUAAUUUUUUUUUUUUUUUUCGGAAAGUGCGAUGACGCCUGCACCACCACGCGGCGCCCAUCGCCACAUCCGUGCCAAGCAAAUAGUUUUGGGCGCCGAUGUCCACGAAAUUUUUAUCCUAAACUAAUGAGUAGCUCCAAAUUUAAUGCAACUGUGCGUAUGUUUAAGCAGCACAGGUAAUUAUUCGUCACGACUAACCUUUUUUAAAGUUAUAUCGAUUUACAGGGAACGCGUAAAUUAGUAAAUAAAUGCAUCCUAUUGUCUCAGAAGAUUUUAUUUUAUUUUUAACAUUUGCCUUUUGCCAUCAGUGGCCAAUUGUCAUAAGCAAAAAAUAAAACAUACUGUAAUAAUUUUAAAAAUAUUAUUUUUUUACAUAUUAUUUAUACAUUGAUAUAUAUGAUGGUGUAAAUAUUUUAGUUGCCACAAUAGCUUAGUUUUAAAAUAUGAAAUGCGCUUACUAAUAUAGUUUAUGAUAACAAGAUUUGGUGUUAGAUAUCUGAGGUCAUAAAUUCAAAUUUUAAUUAUUUCGCAUUUCGAACUAAGUUUGUUUCUAAAAUUAAUAAACGAAAUGAAUAGCACGCUCCUUUCCUCUCUCAAAAAAAAAAAUUUGAUUUUAUCUUUGGAAGUUAUUUACAGUAAAAGAGUAAUGGGUAAUUUAAAAAUUUUGUUACUAGGAAGUUCAAUUAAUCAUCAAUUUUGAUUAACCAUUAUGCAUGAUUUCUUUUUCUUUGUUUUUGUCUCUCUCUACGGUUGCAUCACUUGUUAUCGUUAUGUUACUUUAAAUUUUGGGCAUUUUUAUAAUAUUUAAAAUUUGUUAUUCUCAUCUCAAGACAGAUAGAAAACUUGAUAAAAUUCAGUAACAUAUUUCUAACAGUUCGAAUUUUUUGAAUUAAUGAUUAGCGUUAACGAUCCGAUAUAAAAUAUUUUAUGUCGGAUCGUUAACGCUAAUCAUUAAUUCAAAAAAUUCGAACUGUUAGAAAUAUGCAAUAAAUUCACUUAAAACGUACAGAUACAGGCAUACAGCGCUCAUGGGUUCCGAUUAUGACUCGGCCUAACCAACCUCACGCUAUUUCGAACAUGAGGACUCGGCCCAAUGAGGACUCGGCCCAACAUGGCCUCCCCCCGCACAGGGUAGGAUGCUGGCCUAUUUAAAACCAACAAUCUCCCUCCAGUACCUGGACAUAUUUGCAACACGCGAGAAUCCAACCUGUGAUCUCUAACUCUGAUAUCAUUUGUCGGAUCGUUGACACUAACUAUUAAUCCCAAAAGCUCGAGUUAUCAAAAAUACACAAUAAAUUCACUUAAAACGUACAGAUACAGUGUUCACGGGUCUUGAUUUUUUUUUUUGAGAAGAUUAAAUGUAAAAAAAAGCCCAACUAAAUAAAAUACAUCUAUAUUUUCAUCUAUAUAUAUCUUUAACUAUAUUUUGUUUAUAAUCAACCAAAUAGCUUUUNUAUGUUACUUUAAAUUUUGGGCAUUUUUAUAAUAUUUAAAAUUUGUUAUUCUCAUCUCAAGACAGAUAGAAAACUUGAUAAAAUUCAGUAACAUAUUUGAUUGGAGAGAUUAAUUAAUAUAUAAAAUAUUUUAUAUCGGAUCGUUAACGCUAAUCAUUAAUUCAAAAAAUUCGAACUGUUAGAAAUAUGCAAUAAAUUCACUUAAAAUGUACAGAUACAGACAUACAGCGCUCAUGGGUUCCGAUUAUGACUCGGCCAAACCAACCUCACGCUAUUUCGAACAUGAGGACUCGGCCCAAUAAGGACUCGGCCCAACAUGGCCUCCCGCGCACAGGGUAGGAUGCUGGCCUAUUUAAAGCCAACAAUCUCCCUCCAGUACCUGGACAUAUUUGCAACACGCGAGAAUCCAACCCGUGAUCUCUAACUCUAAUAUCAUUUGUCGGAUCGUUGACACUAACCAUUAAUCCCAAAAGCUCGAGUUAUCAAAAAUACACAAUAAAUUCACUUAAAACGUACAGAUACAGUGUUCACGGGUCUUCAUUUUUUUUUUUUUUGAGAAGAUUAAAUGUAAAAAAAAG